rnacentral:rRNA from 1 species
CCUACGGGGGACAGCAGUGGGGAAUAUUGGUCAAUGGGCGCAAGCCUGACCCAGCAACGCCGCGUGAAGGAAGAAGGCUUUCGGGUUUUAAACUUCUUUUAUUGAAGACGUAACAAAUGACGGUACUCAAUUAAUAAGCCACGGCUAACUACGUGCCAGCAGCCGCUGUAAUACGUAGGUGGCAAGCGUUAUCCGGAUUUACUGGGUGUAAAGGGCGUGUAGGCGGGACUGCAAGUCAGAUGUGAAAACCAUGGGCUCAACCCAUGAACUGCAUUUGAAACUGUAGUUCUUGAGUGAUGGGGAGGUAGGCGGAAUUCCGUGUGUAGCGGUGAAAUGCGUAGAUAUAAGGAGGAACACCAGUGGCGAAGGCAGCCUGCUGGACAUUAACUGACGCUGAGGCGCGAAAGCGUGGGGAGCAAACAGGAUUAGAUACCCUUGUAGUC